AAGAGGUCCUGCCUGCCCAGUGACAACCCAAAUUCAACGGCCGCGGUAUUCUGACCGUGCGAAGGUAGCGUAAUCACUUGUCUUUUAAAUGAAGACCUGUAUGAAUGGCAAGACGAGGGCUUGACUGUCUCCUUUUUCAAGUCAAUGAAAUUGAUUCCCCCGUGCAGAAGCGGGGAUGCUUACAUAAGACGAGAAGACCCUGUGGAGCUUUAGACGCAAGACAGACUAUGUCACUUACCCCAAAACAAAGGACAUCAAACUAAUAAAACCCUAUUCCUCCGUCUUCGGUUGGGGCGACCAUGGGGAAACAGAUACCCCCCACGCGGACUGGGAGCUCUCCCAAAACCAAGAGCGACCACUCUAACUAUCAGAACUUCUGACCAAAAGUGAUCCGGCAAUGCCGAUCAACGGACCAAGUUACCCCAGGGAUAACAGCGCAAUCCCCUUUUAGAGCCCAUAUCAACAAGGGGGUUUACGACCUCGAUGUUGGAUCAGGACAUCCUAAUGGUGCAG
rnacentral:rRNA from 1 species